rnacentral:sRNA from 1 species
ACCAGGUGUGGUGGUGUACACCUGUCAUGCCAGCAACUGGGAGGCUAAGGCAGGAGGAUCAUAAGUUUAAGGUCAGCCUCAGCAACUUAGUGAGAUCCUGUCUUAA